rnacentral:rRNA from 1 species
CUUACACAUGCAGUCAACUUGAAUUUGGGUUUUUUAACUUAGAUUUGGGUGGCGGACGGGUGAGUAACGCGUAAAGAACUUGCCUCACAGCUAGGGACAACAUUUGGAAACGAAUGCUAAUACCUGAUAUUAUGAUUUUAAGGCAUCUUAGAAUUAUGAAAGCUAUACGCGCUGUGAGAGAGCUUUGCGUCCCAUUAGCUAGUUGGAGAGGUAACGGCUCACCAAGGCGAUGAUGGGUAGCCGGCCUGAGAGGGUGAACGGCCACAAGGGGACUGAGACACGGCCCUUACUCCUACGGGAGACAGCAGUGGGGAAUAUUGGACAAUGGACCAAGAGUCUGAUCCAGCAAUUCUGUGUGCACGAUGACGUUUUUCGGAAUGUAAAGUGCUUUCAGUUGGGAAGAAAAAAAUGACGGUACCAACAGAAGAAGUGACGGCUAAAUACGUGCCAGCAGCCGCGGUAAUACGUAUGUCACGAGCGUUAUCCGGAUUUAUUGGGCGUAAAGCGCGUCUAGGUGGAUAUGUAAGUCUGAUGUGAAAAUGCAGGGCUCAACUCUGUAUUGCGUUGGAAACUGUGUAACUAGAGUACUGGAGAGGUAAGCGGAACUACAAGUGUAGAGGUGAAAUUCGUAGAUAUUUGUAGGAAUGCCGAUGGGGAAGCCAGCUUACUGGACAGAUACUGACGCUGAAGCGCGAAAGCGUGGGUAGCAAACAGGAUUAGAUACCCUGGUAGUCCACGCCGUAAACGAUGAUUACUAGGUGUUGGGGGUCGAACCUCAGCGCCCAAGCAAACGCGAUAAGUAAUCCGCCUGGGGAGUACGUACGCAAGUAUGAAACUCAAAGGAAUUGACGGGGACCCGCACAAGCGGUGGAGCAUGUGGUUUAAUUCGACGCAACGCGAGGAACCUUACCAGCGUUUGACAUCUUAGGAAAGAGACAGAGAUGU